rnacentral:rRNA from 1 species
AUUGAACGCUGGCGGCAGGCCUAACACAUGCAAGUCGAACGAGUGGCGGACGGGUGAGUAAUGUCUGGGAAACUGCCUGAUGGAGGGGGAUAACUACUGGAAACGGUAGCUAAUACCGCAUACCAUCAGAUGUGCCCAGAUGGGAUUAGCUUGUUGGUGGGGUAACGGCUCACCAAGGCGACGAUCCCUAGCUGGUCUGAGAGGAUGACCAGCCACACUGGAACUGAGACACGGUCCAGACUCCUACGGGAGGCAGCAGUGGGGAAUAUUGCGCAAUGGGCGCAAGCCUGAUGCAGCCAUGCCGCGUGAGUGAAGAAGGUCUUCGGGUCGUAAAGCACUUUCAGCGGAGAAGCGGUACCUAAAGAGAAAGCACCGGCUAACUACGUGCCAGCAGCCGCGGUAAUAC